rnacentral:rRNA from 1 species
AAGGGCACCACAAGAACGCGUGGAGCAUGUGGCUUAAUUUGACUCAACGCGGGAAAUCUUACCGGGUCCGGACACACUGAGGAUUGACAGAUAUAUUAUUAUAUGUAUUUUAAAUACAUAUAUUAGAAAGAUGCUAGUUCUUUCAUGACUAUGUGAUAGGUGGUGCAUGGCCGUUCUUAGUUCGUGGAGUGAUCUGUCUGCUUAAUUGCGUUUCACUAAAGGCCUUAUUAUAUACAGUGUGUUGACACUUUGCAUUGACCCCUGCUCAUUGAGUGGUUGCGUGUCUUUGUUAUACUGUCUCAUACUAAUUUAGGCCUUGAAAGCAACGAACGUGACCGCAACCUCUUGUUGCCUUAUUACCAUAUAUAAUAAUUGUGUCUCUGUACACAUUUAUUGUAAUAAAGGCUAUUUUAUUAAUUAAACUAGAGGGACCGCUGUGAUCUUUUUUAAACCAGAGGAAGGUUGCGGCAAUAACAGGUCUGUGAUGCCCUUAGAUGUUCCGGGCUGCACACGUGCUACAAUGAUUAUUGCAGUGAGCAUCUCAUUUAUAACAGCUGUCUUGUGCGUGUAUUAAUUAUUUUUAUAAUAAUUAAAUUACAUUGUACACAGCUAAGCCUACUUCGAGAGGUCAGUAGGUAACCAAUUAGAAGUAAUGAUUUCUAAUUUAUUAUGCACAACAAUAUGUGGCAUUUAUAUCCGGGUUGUAGCUUUGCCUAUAACUUUUGUGUGUAUAAAUGUAUUUUAUAUCCACAUGUGCAAUUAUUAAUACAAGGUGGGGACAGACUAUUGUUAAUUGUUAGUCUCGGUCUUAACUAGGAAUGCCUUGUACGGGUUGGUUCAACAAACCACCCGGAAUACGUCCCUGCCCUUUGUACACACCGCCCGUCGCUCUUACCGAUGAACUUCUCUGUGAGUCUAAUGGACUAAUUAUAUUAUUAACGUUUUAUAAUGGAAAAUUAUACGAACAGGGUGGUUUAAAGGAAAGAGAAGUCGAACAAGGC